GUUGUAUAGUCAAGUAAUUAAGUGCAUGUGGUGGAUGCCUUGGCAGUCAGAGGCGAUGAAAGACGUGAUAGCCUGCGAAAAGCUCCGGGGAGGCGGCAAAUAUCCUUUGAUCCGGAGAUGUCUGAAUGGGGGAACCCACCUACUUUAAGGUAGGUAUUGCAACAUGAAUACAUAGUGUUGCAAGGCGAACGAGGGGAAGUGAAACAUCUCAGUACCCUUAGGAAAAGAAAUCAAUUGAGAUUCCCUCAGUAGCGGCGAGCGAACGGGGAUCAGCCCAUUAAGUUAUGUGUGUUUUAGUGGAACGCUCUGGGAAGUGCGAACGUAGAGGGUGAUAUUCCCGUACACGAAAGGGCACACAUAAUGAUGACGAGUAGGGCGAGGCACGUGAAACCUUGUCUGAAUAUGGGGGGACCAUCCUCCAAGGCUAAAUACUCCUGACUGACCGAUAGUGAACCAGUACCGUGAGGGAAAGGCGAAAAGAACCCCUGUGAGGGGAGUGAAAUAGAUCCUGAAACCGCAUGCAUACAAGCAGUGGGAGCACCUUCGUGGUGUGACUGCGUACCUUUUGUAUAAUGGGUCAGCGACUUAUAUUCAGUAGCAAGGUUAACCGUAUAGGGGAGCCGUAGAGAAAUCGAGUCUUAAUAGGGCGUUUAGUUGCUGGGUAUAGACCCGAAACCAGGCGAUCUAUCCAUGAGCAGGUUGAAGGUUGGGUAACACUAACUGGAGGACCGAACCCACUGUCGUUGAAAAGCCAGGGGAUGACUUGUGGAUAGGGGUGAAAGGCUAAUCAAGCCUGGUGAUAGCUGGUUCUCCCCGAAAGCUAUUUAGGUAGCGCCUCGGACGAAUACCAUAGGGGGUAGAGCACUGUUUCGGCUAGGGGGUCAUCCCGACUUACCAAACCGAUGCAAACUCCGAAUACCUAUGAGUACUAUCCGGGAGACAGACUGCGGGUGCUAACGUCCGUAGUCAAGAGGAAAACAAUCCAGACCGCCAGCUAAGGCCCCAAAAUCAUAGUUAAGUGGGAAACGAUGUGGGAAGGCAUAGACAGCUAGGAGGUUGGCUUANNNNNNNNNNNNNNNNNNNNNNNNNNNNNNNGAAGCAGCCACCCUUUAAAGAAAGCGUAAUAGCUCACUAGUCGAGUCGGCCUGCGCGGAAGAUGUAACGGGGCUAAAACUAUGUGCCGAAGCUGCGGAUGUAUACUUUGUAUACGUGGUAGGGGAGCGUUCUGUAAGCCGAUGAAGGUGUGUUGAGAAGCNNAUGCUGGAGGUAUCAGAAGUGCGAAUGCUGACGUGAGUAACGACAAAACGGGUGAAAAACCCGUUCGCCGAAAGACCAAGGGUUCCAGUCCAACGUUAAUCGGGGCUGGGUGAGUCGACCCCUAAGGCGAGGCCGAAAGGCGUAGUCGAUGGGAAAAUGGUUAAUAUUCCAUUACUUCUGUGUAAUGCGAUGAGAGGACGGAGAAGGCUAAAUCAGCCUGGCGUUGGUUGUCCAGGUGAAAGGAUGUAGGCAUGUAUCUUAGGCAAAUCCGGGGUACUCUAUGCUGAGAUCUGAUAGCAAGCUGUACUUGUACAGCGAAGUGGUUGAUGCCAUGCUUCCAGGAAAAGUCUCUAAGCUUCAGUUACACAGGAAUCGUACCCGAAACCGACACAGGUGGUCAGGUCGAGUAGACCAAGGCGCUUGAGAGAACUCUGCUGAAGGAACUAGGCAAAAUGGUACCGUAACUUCGGGAGAAGGUACGCUGUUGUUGGUGAUGGAACUCGCUUCCUGAGCUGACGACAGCCGCAGAAACCAGGCCGCUGCAACUGUUUAUUAAAAACAUAGCACUCUGCAAACACGAAAGUGGACGUAUAGGGUGUGAUGCCUGCCCGGUGCUGGAAGGUUAAUUGAUGGGGUUAGCGUAAGCGAAGCUCUUGAUCGAAGCCCCAGUAAACGGCGGCCGUAACUAUAACGGUCCUAAGGUAGCGAAAUUCCUUGUCGGGUAAGUUCCGACCUGCACGAAUGGCAUAAUGAUGGCGGCGCUGUCUCCAGCAGAGGCUCAGUGAAAUCGAAAUCGCUGUGAAGAUGCAGUGUACCCGCGGCUAGACGGAAAGACCCCGUGAACCUUUACUGCAGCUUGACACUGAACUUUGACCUUACUUGUGUAGGAUAGGUGGGAGGCUUUGAAGCUGGAACGCUAGUUCCAGUGGAGCCGUCCUUGAAAUACCACCCUGGUAAUGUUGAGGUUCUAACUCUGUCCCGUGAUCCGGGACGAGGACCGUGUCUGGUGGGUAGUUUGACUGGGGCGGUCUCCUCCUAAAGAGUAACGGAGGAGUACGAAGGUGCGCUCAGCGUGGUCGGAAAUCACGCGUAGAGUAUAAAGGCAAAAGCGCGCUUAACUGCGAGACCCACAAGUCGAGCAGGUACGAAAGUAGGUCUUAGUGAUCCGGUGGUUCUGUAUGGAAGGGCCAUCGCUCAACGGAUAAAAGGUACUCUGGGGAUAACAGGCUGAUACCGCCCAAGAGUUCAUAUCGACGGCGGUGUUUGGCACCUCGAUGUCGGCUCAUCUCAUCCUGGGGCUGAAGCAGGUCCCAAGGGUAUGGCUGUUCGCCAUUUAAAGAGGUACGCGAGCUGGGUUUAGAACGUCGUGAGACAGUUCGGUCCCUAUCUACCGUGGGCGCUGGAAAUUUGAGAGGAUCUGCUCCUAGUACGAGAGGACCAGAGUGGACGAACCUCUGGUGUACCGGUUGUGACGCCAGUCGCAUCGCCGGGUAGCUAUGUUCGGAAGGGAUAACCGCUGAAAGCAUCUAAGCGGGAAGCCUACCUCAAGAUAAGAUUUCCCUAGGACUUUAUGUCCUCUAAAGAGCCGUUCGAGACUAGGACGUUGAUAGGUUGGAUGUGGAAGCAUAGUGAUAUGUGAAGCUGACCAAUACUAAUUGCUCGUGAGGCUUGACUAUACAACACCCAAGCAGUUG
rnacentral:rRNA from 1 species